UAGAGCUUGAUCAUGGCUCAGAUUGAACGCUGGCGGCAGGCCUAACACAUGCAAGUCGAGCGGUAGAGAGAAGCUUGCUUCUCUUGAGAGCGGCGGACGGGUGAGUAAUGCCUAGGAAUCUGCCUGGUAGUGGGGGAUAACGUUCGGAAACGGACGCUAAUACCGCAUACGUCCUACGGGAGAAAGCAGGGGACCUUCGGGCCUUGCGCUAUCAGAUGAGCCUAGGUCGGAUUAGCUAGUUGGUGAGGUAAUGGCUCACCAAGGCGACGAUCCGUAACUGGUCUGAGAGGAUGAUCAGUCACACUGGAACUGAGACACGGUCCAGACUCCUACGGGAGGCAGCAGUGGGGAAUAUUGGACAAUGGGCGAAAGCCUGAUCCAGCCAUGCCGCGUGUGUGAAGAAGGUCUUCGGAUUGUAAAGCACUUUAAGUUGGGAGGAAGGGCAGUUACCUAAUACGUGAUUGUUUGACGUACCGACAGA
rnacentral:rRNA from 1 species